AUGGAGACCGGCGAUGUGCCCAGGUCGGAUGUGGAACGGCGGUUAGCCGGUCUGCUGAUAGGCUCUGGGCGUGGUWCAACGAGGAUUUGGGUGGCGGUUGAAGCUUGGGCAUUUUGAUACGCCCAGGGGAUGCCGGCUCCCAGAUCGUGGGAAGUAGCGCGCGCCCUUGGCGUGCUUCGGCACCUGCGUUCUCCGGUCGUUGACUUGUGGGCUCUCCAUUCGACCCGUCUUGAAACACGGACCAAGGAGUCUUACAUGUGUGCGAGUCAGCGGGUUGAUAAACCCGUAAGGCGUAAGGAAGCUGAUUGGCGGGAACCCCUGGGGGUGCACCGUCGACUGACCUUGAUCUUUUGAGAAGGGUUCGAGUGUGAGCAUACCUGUCGGGACCCGAAAGAUGGUGAACUAUGCCUGAGCGGGGUGAAGCCAGAGGAAACUCUGGUGGAGGUCCGCAGCGAUACUGACGUGCAAAUCGUUCGUAUGACUUGGGUAUAGGGGCGAA
rnacentral:rRNA from 1 species